GCGAAAAGAAAAAUAUUUAAAAAAUACAAAAACAACUGCAAAAUGGCAAAUUAUCGGUAAUUAUGUUUGUAGUUUUGCAAUAUUUCCCUUUUAGCUAAAGUCUUGAAAUUUCUACACCAAAUAGCAUUUUUCAAUAGCUUCAAUUUAAUAUAUAGCCCAACGUUCAGUGUUGAGUAUUUCUGCUCAUAACUCAGAAAAACUAAAAUGCACUGGCUUCAAUCCCCCGCCCUGAGUUAGCCUUCCAGUUUAUUUAUAGUUCAAUGGUAUACAUAUAAUAAAUGGAGUAAUACCCUCUCGUCAACUAGCAGUGAACUUUUUGACUGAAUGCAUUUCAACGUUUUCUCUUGCCUUUUAUAUUUUGCGCGAAAUUCAUUCGAAGUGAAUUUACAGUAGGAAAGUACAUAUCAGAUUUAAGCCUGUUUUCCACUUCAAAAAGUCGUCGGUUCCACACUACAAGUCCAGACACACCGGACGCGAUUCGACAACGCGAAUUUUUGAUUUUCACUGACCGAUAACUUUGAUCCUAGUUUAAAUUUUGCAAAUAUUUAGAAGUGCUAUAUAACAUUUUGAG